rnacentral:rRNA from 1 species
GACGAACGCUGGCGGCGUGCUUAACACAUGCAAGUCGAACGCUGAAGACCUGGCUUUUGUUGGGUUGGAUGAGUGGCGAACGGGUGAGUAACACGUGAGUAACCUGCCCUCUUCUUUGGGAUAACGCCCGGAAACGGGUGCUAAUACUGGAUAUUCACUGGCCUUCGCAUGGGGGUUGGUGGAAAGGUUUGUUCUGGUGGGGGAUGGGCUCGCGGCCUAUCAGCUUGUUGGUGGGGUGAUGGCCUACCAAGGCUUUGACGGGUAGCCGGCCUGAGAGGGUGACCGGUCACAUUGGGACUGAGAUACGGCCCAGACUCCUACGGGAGGCAGCAGUGGGGAAUAUAGCACAAUGGGCGAAAGCCUGAUGCAGCGACGCCGCGUGAGGGAUGGAGGCCUUCGGGGUGUAAACCUCUUUCGCUCAUGGUCAAGCCGCAACUGUGGGUUGUGGUGAGGGUAGUGGGUAAAGAAGCGCCGGCUAACUACGUG